CCCAAGCCAUUCCACAUUGACAAGCUUAACUGUCACAGAAGAAGACAAGCAUUUCCUUUCUGUCUUAGAGCCAUCCUGAUCACUUCUGUGACAUCAGUUUGUUACCACAGAAACACUCGUGGGGACCCAAAGUUAGCAUUUAGAUUUCAUAUUAGAAAGCAGACCUUUAUUUUCUUUACACAAAGGUUAAAAAAUAAUGAAAACUGGGUUCCUGAAGAAACACACAAGUUGAUUGGAUGCCAGAUUUGUUUUUCUCCUCACAUUUAACAGAAAGAACAACCUGGAAGCCCUGCAAUGAAGUUUCACACUUUUGCAUGAAAACAUCAUACUUAAAAUCUCUUCUUCUAAGAAGGAGCACAUGUG
rnacentral:lncRNA from 1 species